UACGUAGGGUCCUAGCGUUAAUCGGAAUUACUGGGCGUAAAGCGUGCGCAGGCGGUUUUGUAAGCCAGAUGUGAAAUCCCCGGGCUCAACCUGGGAACUGCAUUUGGGACUGCAAGGCUGGAGUACGGCAGAGGGAGGUGGAAUUCCACGUGUAGCAGUGAAAUGCGUAGAGAUGUGGAGGAACACCGAUGGCGAAGGCAGCCUCCUGGGCUAGUACUGACGCUCAUGCACGAAAGCGUGGGGAGCAAACAGG
rnacentral:rRNA from 1 species